rnacentral:rRNA from 1 species
UUACCUAAGCUUGACAUCCUUUUGACCGAUGCCUAAUCGCAUCUUUCCCUUCGGGGACAGAAGUGACAGGUGGUGCAUGGUUGUCGUCAGCUCGUGUCGUGAGAUGUUGGGUUAAGUCCCGCAACGAGCGCAACCCUUGCCUUUAGUUGCCAGCAUUAAGUUGGGCACUCUAGAGGGACUGCCAGGGAUAACCUGGAGGAAGGUGGGGAUGACGUCAAAUCAUCAUGCCCCUUAUGCUUAGGGCUACACACGUGCUACAAUGGGUGGUACAGAGGGCAGCCAAGUCGUGAGGCGGAGCUAAUCCCUUAAAGCCAUUCUCAGUUCGGAUUGUAGGCUGAAACUCGCCUACAUGAAGCUGGAGUUACUAGUAAUCGCAGAUCAGAAUGCUGCGGUGAAUGCGUUCCCGGG